rnacentral:rRNA from 1 species
UACGAAGGAUUCGAGCGUUAUCCGGAUUUAUUGGGUUUAAAGGGCGCGUAGGUGGACUAAUAAGUCAGUGGUGAAAGCCCGCAGCUUAACUGCGGAACUGCCAUUGAUACUGUUAGUCUUGAGUACAGUUGAGGUGGGCGGAAUGUGUCAUGUAGCGGUGAAAUGCUUAGAUAUGACACAGAACACCGAUUGCGAAGGCAGCUCACUAAGCUGUAACUGACACUGAGGCACGAAAGCGUGGGGAGCAAACAGG